GUGGUCUGAAUGUUUAUAUCACCCAAAAUUCAUAUGUUGAAAUCCGACCCUUCGGAGAUGAUGGUAUUACUAAGUGGUGCCUUUGGGAGGUGAUUAGGUCAUGAAGGUAACACCCUCAUGAAUGGGAUUAGUUCUCUUAUAAAAGAGACACCAUAGAGCUCCCUAGUCCCUUCUACCAUCUGAGGAGGCGAUGAGAAGUCAACCAGCAGAAGAGGGACCUCUUCCAACCAUGGAGCCACCAUGGUGUCAGCCUUCCAGCCUCAAGAACUGUGAGCAAAAAUUUCUUCUAUCAGCCAUCAAGUCUGUAGUAUUUUUUUACGGCAGCCUGAAUGAAGUAAGACAAAAUAACAAGAAAAAGACGUGAUAAAGCAAAUGGAGGGCUUUUUGGUCUAUUGUUUUCACCUUUGCAGUUCAUGAUAGUCUCGUUGAAUGAACUGAAGAAUAAAACUAUAUAAUAUAGUCUUAUUAUAAGCAGAAGAAAAUGAAGAUGAUCUGACGAGAUAAAUCACUGAAGGUUAAUAGCUUUUUUAAAAUCAAUCUUCCUUCAAAGGAAAAGGCUAAACGGCUUAGUGGAUGAAACGCCAGCCUCUCACCUCUGAGACCAUAGUUCAAGUCUCAACUGUGAAGCCUUCAGCAACAUGUGUACUGGGCAGAGAUCAGUCUCUAGUGGACAAAAAUCUGCACUGCAUGAGUUGGAGGCUGCCGCAGUAAUCACCCCACGCACUGCCGACCCCUGUCAGCGGGACUGACGUGUUUCCACUCCACCUUGUCCCUUUGGAAAUGGUCCAGGUGGGAGCUAACAUCACUGUCAGGAAGCUGUGAGAGUGUUUUCAGAGCAGCCUUCUCAAAGAGUACUGGCGGUGUGAAGUCACUAGAGGUUGCUGCUUCACGAUUCUGACCUGACACCCAAAGAACCUGAUCUUCACUCCUAUAAACUGGAUGACACCUUUUCCUGUCAAUUAACAAAGUAGGACAAACAGAACUGAUCACUUGGCUAUUCCAGACUAACUAAGGACUCACUUACCAGAGGGUGGUUACCCAUGUGGGAGCCAAACUUCAAUAAUUAAAUUCAAAUGCAUCCAGAUAAAAUAGGGAAGCAUAAACACACAGGUGUAUGUACUCAUCUAUAAACAUGUAUAUUCCUACAAAUGUGUGCAGUCAUGUGUUGACAGAUAGAAGUUGGACCGUCCAUUUAUCUACAUGGGCAGUCCUCCAUUGCUGGCUAUUUAAAGGGCUUCUUUGUGUUCACUCCUUAGUAACAUGUCUUCAGCUUCCAUCCUUGAAUAGCAUAGUGCACUGCAUUUUAAACCUCCAAAAGGGACAUCCAAACUGUUUACAGAACACACACGUGGCACAAAUAGCUGUUAUUUAAGGAGAUUGCAGUCAGCUCGAUUUUAUGGGCAAACGUGUGUAUUGAAUAAUCCUACUGUAGUGUCCAACUAAAAUCAGCAUUUUAUUUCACAGUUUUAUGGUGAGAUAUGUUUUCUUUGCGCCUUUUACGCAUUGUGCAAUAACCCACUUGAAAGUGGAAGCAAUGUCUAAUUUGAAACUAUUUGAACAGGGGAUGGUAUUUGCAUACAAUGAAAUGUGUAAGAAAGUUUAAGAGUAGAAUCAUAUUAAAAUGUGGAUGCAUCCAUGACAUUUCCAUAUUCUUCCAAAAUGAUUUAUUAAUGAUUGUUGUUUACUGCUAAUUCAAACCACCUGCAAAUCUCUUUGUUAUGAUUAAAGCAAGCUUUUUUCCCCCAGGCUGAUAGAUGGCUCUGUAAUUUCAGAGGAAAUAUGCUAAAGGUCAUGAGUUAAUACAUCCUCUGGUACUUUCUCUUCCCAUCCUUGCUUUCCCAAAUGGGAGGAAAACUGUGUUGUAUUAUUUCCAUGUCUUUGUAAUGUCCAUUCAAAAUGAAAUUAGAAAGUGCAUUAAAAAGAGAGUAUCUGUAUGUACACACAGCAAAAUCCACACGUAUUCUGUAUAGUCUAUUACUAAAAUUAUACAAUUGCCUUUUGAGAUUUCAUACAAAAAAUCUUUCCUUAAUAAUCUAUGAAUAUCACUGUCUGAAUCAAGUAUUAUUAUCCCUUUUAAAAUUAAACUAUCCACAAAACAUGCAUUUACUUUCUGCUAUACAAAAUGCUAAUAAUGCUUUUAGAAUGGUCUUUAAAAAGUCUAAUUAUAUCAUUUAAAAACUGAGAGACCAAAGGGCAAGCUAAAUUCUCCUAACAUAAAUCAGACUUUUUUU
rnacentral:lncRNA from 1 species